GAAAAGAGUCAUGGAUCCACAAAGAACAUAGUCUAUGGAUAAAGAAUGGAGGACAGUUUUAAACGCCCACUAAAAAUUGUCUUUCUAGAGAGUCUCUCUCUCUCUCUCUCUCGAAUCCUCUCUUUAGAGGUUUAGAGUCUGGGGUUUUCCUUAAAUUGUCCACACUCCCCCUCUCCACUUCCUGCCCUGCCGGUGCCCCCAGGAACUGACACUGAGGAAGCACGCGCAGGGUCAGAAGGGAGAGAGAUGAGCGGUCGUCUCUCCCUGCGCCAGCUUCAGGAAAGGUCUCUCGGGUGCUCUGUGCCUGGGCAACUACUGCUCCUUCUGAGGGGCCCUUCCUCUGCCUCCGUGGUUCCAGUUGGGCCAUGGUUUCCUCUUGUCCGUUUACAUCCAAGACUGUUUACCUGCUUCUGCCUUCCCCUCCUAUUCCCUUCACCCAGCCUACCCCUGCCUGUGAGCCUCGCAGUAAAGUCUCUCCAUCUGAACCACCUGCUGGAACCCUGACUGACAGAGAGACUCCUCGUGAAUAGGCAUGGACUGCGUGCAUGCAACACAUUUUAGGAUAAAUGAUGAGAAAAGGGGACUGAAAAAUAUAGUUUUUACCUUCAAGACGAGCCAUUUACAACUUGGCCGUAAGGACUAGGAGAGGUGACCUCGUGUGGGCUGAAGGGCAAUCUGAAGCGAGACGCUCUGGGCACACGGCUACACCAGACCUUCGGGCAGGAUCCUAUUUCAGCGACAACUACGGAGACGUCCCUCCCCAUUCCCUUCCCUCCAGUCCUGUCGAAGACUUCAAGAGAAGGGCUUUGCUCUUACGAGCCUUUCAUUUGAUGUCGUGCUACGUGGAGCUGUUGGCCACCUUGUGACAACGAGGUAUGAUACUGCUGGCACACUGUGAAAGCAGGUGGCUCCUGGGUUCUGUCACCAACUAUGGAAGCAACCAACUACAGAAGAACCGCCUCCUGUGAACUCCACGUAAAUUAACAACAGCCACUGUCAGCCGGCCUCUUGCUCUGGCAGCCACACGUCCACGACUGAGCAUUGCUUCUUGGGGUGGAACUGAGGGGCGGGAAGAGCAGUGUCUUACCUUCAAUUGUGUGUUUUUCUCUGCUGCUGCGUGUUGUUUUACCAUAUAUGGGCAAUACUUUCAAUAUUAUAAAGCAACUAAUUUAAUUUUUUAAUUGCAUCUCUAAAUAACUGACAUUAAUUUGGGGAAAACUGAGAGCUAUAAUGUUUCGAAUGGUAGCCUAACUCAUCAGCCCACAAUUCAUACACGGGCACUCUGCGCACCAAAUACAUAUAUACGAAUGCUGGAAUAUUUGAGCAGUUAGCCAAUUCUGAAUUUUAAGAUCAAAUUUUUCUUCUUCCCAAACUGUUUGUGAGCAUUUGUGUCUCCCAAACCACGUGAGGAUGAGAUGCUUCUCCCUAGUGUGAGUUUGUAGGGAGAUGUUUGGUGUGUCUAUCGGGAUUUACAGCGAUUACAUCAGGCCCCAGUUUCUUUCUGCAGUAACAGAGCAGGAAUGCAGAGUUCUCCCACCUGCCAGGGCUGAUCCAGUCAGUAGCUAUCUCUACCGGGAAAGUAUGUUGACUGCGGUGAGGAAAAAGGGCCGGAAGCAUCAGGAACGUCGGCUGAAGUGCUCAGCAGGGUUUCUCCAAGAAAGACCUUUAUCUUUGUACAACCCAGUUGAUGCCAACAUCCAUUUAACUACUACCACCCUAUGAGGAGGUUAUAAUCCUCAUCUGGAAUUAUUACCGAACCUCAAGUGAGUUCGCUCACCCGUUGCGCAGCAAGCCCAUCUCUGACACUGGGUGUGGUGGAAGAAAGUAGGAACUUUAUUUUUUUGCACAGCGCUGAGCAAGGAGAGAGGGCAGCUAACGCUCAAAUCCCAAACUCCCCGAAAAGCUAAAAGGAAGGGUUUUUAUUUGGGGGUUUAGGUAGGGGAGGGGGAGCAUAUGGCCUUGCUGGUUGGAGCUUUCCCACCAGCCUGUCUUUGACCUUGAGACACUUGCAGACAGGAGGGAGCUCAUGACCUUGCUGGUCAGCAGCUUUCCCACCAGCCCGUAUCUCUUUGCGGGAGGAGAUAGUCCAGGUGCUUGUCCUUGACAGUGUCUGUCUCCGUGGAGAAUAGUCGAUUCUGGAGCCAGGAAGCCAGAGAGCAAGCAGGGAAUGGGUGUUUUGCUUUUAACCCCCUAUAUGCUGGGUUUAAUGUGGGGAAACUGAUACCAGGGUCGGUAUCAGAAUGAGCUCAUGCAGGAUCUCUGAGGGUUGAGCUUCCAGGGAAUCCAGUAUUUCCCUCACAUCCCUCCUCACAGCUCUCACGUCUCAGGCUUCUUGUCUCCCACACGUGAGGGGGUAGGAAUUGAAGAGAAGUUGGUCCUCUGACACUGCUGCACCAUGAAAAGCUGACAUCCCGUCCUCCUCAGCAACAUCUCACUUGAUGGUACAGGGCGUAGAGCCAGGAUGCAGAGAACUGGAGCAAGGCCGUCCGAGUGUCGCCACCACCGUGACCCUUCCCACGCACCAGCCCUUGAUCUUGAUUUACUUAUGCUGCCAUCCUCUACAGCUGUUCCACCACCAAGACCUGUUUAGCUUUUCCUGGUUAAAGUUCGUGGAAACCUCACUUCUCCUCUUUUACAACUACAGCCUCCUCGUUCCAGACUGUCGCUUCUCUAAUCCAUCUAUUUGUAGCUGUCCUAAUAAUCUUUCUUAAUGGCCUUUGUCAUCAUAUUCUUCCCUACCAAAGAUUUACUGAAAGACAGAAGUGAACAUCUGAACAAGUGGAAAGAUUCAGAAAUCAGUCCUUUCAUGACAAAUGUUGAGACCCCCAUUUUUCCAUGAAAUGUUCCUUCUCCCAGUUUUUCGUUCCAUUUGUACAUAUCACCUUUUAGGGAUGUAGAUGAAAUAACCAUAAAUUAAUUUAUAAUAUUUGACUUAUUAGUUAAUUUAGAUACCCUCACUACUUAAAAUCAUGCAUAUAAAAUUAUAGGUUGAUUAACUUAAAAAUAUUUCUUUUUCUCAACAUUGAAGGGAAAAAAAUUAUUUAAACUCUUUCCCAGUAGCUUCCACAUCAGUGUCUUUGUCAUCUCUAGGGCUGCCUUUUGUUGUCUAACAAAGCAGACGUGCACCUGCUCUCGAGGGGAAUCUGCUUCAGAGAACGAGGCACUGAGGGGAGACAGGGGAGGAAGGCUGAGUCUCUGGCUCAGAUCCCCCGAGGGCCGUGCUCCGAGUAGGGCGCUUCCUGACACAGUCCCCUGGGUCUGAUACAUUCCUUCAGGUGUCACUUAUGUGUUACAUUUUGGUCGAGAGGCCGUAGGCUUGUCCAUCUAUGACUGUCCACCAUAACUCACAGAAGAGCGUAUCUGUUCUGAGCCCCAGUCUGCUGAGUAUGAGCGACUUUGAGCUCUUUUCCCAGUAAGAAAAUAUUAGAAUCCCUAAAUAUAAAACAAUGCUCUUUACAGUAAACUUUAAUACUAUCAACCUUAGAACGCUCAGAAGUAGAAUAAUCACUUUAGCUACAACUGUCUGCUUUGGUUGCAAGAAUUCAAACCUCAUGAGAGUUUACUGCACAGGCUCCAUAGCCAGUAUCUGAUCAGCUAUCUUCUCCUCUUUUACAGGAGAAAGUGGGUUGUCCUAAGGGUACCAGCAGUAUAAUUUUGUAAUGAUGGGGUGCAAUAAUCACUUUCCUACCAGCCAAGCAUGCUUCUGUGCACACGUGCACUCAACAUGGAGCUUUUACCCUGCAUUGCACUAUAACUAGUUCAGGAAUACCAUUUCUUUUGCCCUGGCAGUAGGUGCUAUGAAUCUAU
rnacentral:lncRNA from 1 species